rnacentral:rRNA from 1 species
UUUACCGGAGUACUAUGAAUAUUAAAAAUUUAAAACUCAAAGAACUUGGCGGUGUUUUANACCACUCAGGGGAACCUGUCUCAUAAUCGAUAAUCCACGUUGUACCUGACCUUUUUUUGUAUUCAGUUUGUAUACCGUUGUCGUCAGGUAACUUUUUAGAAAUUAGAAGUUAGCAGCAGAAAUAAAAAAUAAUUUAAUACGUCAAAUCAAGGUGCAGCUAAUGAAAAGGGGAGGAUGGGUUACAAUUAUAUAAUUUAUAAUAACGGAUAGGUAUAUGGAGUAUGUAUUAAUUAUAAGGCGGACUUGAAAGUAAAUUAGGUUAUAUAAAUAACUUGAAUGAGGCUCUGAAACGUGU